CACCGGGUUGCAGCACGUGAACGUCGCCUGCCGACGCACGUCCGCAGCGUUCCGUGACCCCAGCCGCCGUGCAUCCAUGGCAAGAUUUGUCGAAGGAAAAGCUCUGUCCACGCCAGGCUAAGAAAGUCGUGUACAACGUUUACGCACAAGUAAGCAAAAGGGACCCGCAGCUGCAUAUCACGGACGCAUGCCGGAAGGUGAGUGAGCUGACUGAGUUUAGCGAACGCAGUGGGUACCGGAUUAAGCGCGACGUACAGUGUGACACCUUGAAGUCACCGAAGCGCAAACGGCUGCGUCUCCCAGCCACACACAGCAAUGCCAGAACAGGAAGAACGAGACUGCAACUUCAUGGCAGUUUCUCCCUUGCCGCUCUGCGAAGGAAAGUGCACCAGUAUUUCCUGCGGAAUGAAAUUCCAACAGUCGCAAAACUUGCGCGAGAUGUGACCAGUGAUAUUGACAUGAAUAUGCCUAAAAUGUGUGUGCGUACAAUGCAAAGGCUGCGCGACGACGCUGGAUUUUCUUUUCGCAAACGGAAGAGAAACUCUCGUUUCCUCAAGAGAAACGACAUCAUCUUGCGGCGGCGGCAGUGCGAUAGGCAGUACCUGCGUACCAUCCGGGAACUUUGCACCCAAAAGCAGCUCAUAUACUACCUUGACGAAACUUGAGUCAACGCUGGGCAUACCACGGAAAAGGUGUUGGGCUGAAGGCACUCCUAAUAACAACACCACCCGGAUGCUUCUAAUCAUGGGGGUUGAGGGGAAAGGAAACGAAAGGCGCUUCUAGCGCGCCCAGGAACUGCAUAUAGGUUUCUUGCGAGGGGGAAAAAUUCGCGCUGGGACGCAGCAGGCGCUCCAAGUAUUGACAGUGUAGUCGGCAGCACGCGGCCCGCCGAUGUAUACGGGUGGUGGCGGUGCAACUCGGACGCGGCGAGGGGUCUUGCUUUAGGCCAUACGCCUCGUUUAUUCCGUGUGAAUACCGUAUUCUGAGUGCAGAAGCCUUUAAAGUGAAUAGUUCUAUUUGUCUCUUUGGCGUACUGUCAUCUGUAAUGAGGGUGCAGCCGUAUAUAUCUGCUGCUUCCUUGACUUGUUUGCCUUUCUUGUCGGGUUUUUUGUAACCCAAGGUCAGAUCUUUGGCGUUGAAAUCUCCUACAAUCACUAGGGGGUUUGUUUUGGCUAAUUUGCUCGAUUCUGCAAAAAGUUUGCGGAAGUCCGCGUUUUCCUUUUUUUUGGCUCGGAGGACUAUAGAGAUUUAUGAGCUAUACCCCCAUAGUAUGUUCGGUUUCCGAACCAGGCUAGCGACACAGGAUGUCCUUCUCCAAAUUAAACAUGAGGUUCUCAGCAACAUCCCAUACAACAGAGAGCACAUUUUAAUGGCACUUGACAUAAAAGGAGCUUUUUGACAAUGUCAGCCACGCGGCAAUCCUAGAAGGCCUAAACAACCUAGACUGCGGGAAGAAAGUACACGGAUACGUCAAAGCCUUCCUCUCUAAUAGAACAGCAACAGUAGGUUUGGGAGAGAUCCGAUCGCGAAAAUUCCCCACACCAAACAAGGGGACACCCCAAGGUUUAGUAAUUUCCCCGAUAUCUUUAACAUCACAAUGAUUGGCCUAGGGCGUAAACUAAGCAAUAUCGAAGGCAUACAAGACGCCAUGUAUGCAGAUGACAUCACCAUCUGGGCCACUAAAGGCUCGCUGUGCGAAAAAGAAAGCUAUCUGCAAGAAGCAGCCACUUGCGUGGAAGAAUACGUCGGGGAAAGAGGCCUUGAGUGCUCAACGGAGAAAUCCGAGCUCCUGAG